rnacentral:ncRNA from 1 species
CAAAAAGCGAUGAAGAGGACCAGUAGAGGUGCAGAGUGUGUACAGAGAGCUGUCUCUAGGCUGAAAAGACGGUCACCCUCCCACUUCGAAUCUCACCUUGGAGUUGCGCUUUUGAAAAGGGCCCAGCCCCCGAGUAAAAAGCGACGGUUGCCCCCGUUACCGGGCAAGAGUCGUUUGGACUCGCCGAGUCCGUUUUCGCGAGAAAGCGGAGAAGCUGAGUGGUACCGCGAAACCCUCGCCUCAGCA